rnacentral:lncRNA from 1 species
UUUAGGAUAAUGGAUUAGCUUGUUUAUGAUCGCACCACCGCACUCCAGUCUGGGCAACAUAGCGAGACUCCAUCUCAAAAAAAAAAAAAAAAAUCUAGCAGUUAUUUUCAUAUCACAUUGUAGUUGUAUAUAUCUCAAAAUGUUAUUUUGUUCAUCCCUGCUUCAAAAUGAUAGCCAUUAUUAGACCUGCAACAAGAUCCUAUUAUUGAGUGAAUACAGAAGCACAUUUGUCAUAAUUUUGCUUUUGAACCGUUUGAAAACUGGAUUUCAGUAUAGUUUCUUUUUUUCUAGUAAUUUGAGUAUUUUCAGUGUUAAAAAGGUAUUCUGAGAUAAGAUCCAGAUGCAUAGGGACACCUUCUGUAGAAAAGAUUGGGACUCCUUGAUAACAGAAGAUCUGAUAUUGUGUAAAAAAAAAAAAAAGAUUGGGAACCCUUACUUUUACGUUCUUCUGAGGUACCACCACCCAUGUAUCCUGAGCACUCCUAUUUCUUGCUACAAUGCAGUUCUUUCCCUUCA